GUUGUUGGGCUUGAUUAAGCAAUUUGGGCCAUUCUCAUUGGCUCCCAGCCUCCUCCUCCACAUUUCAGUUGUCAAAAACCUCUCCCAACUCUCGACUCUAUUCUUCUCCCAAGUCCCAACACUCCUCCCUGCAUUACAAUUCCAUCAACCUUUGGUUUCUCCAUCCAAAUCAGAUCAAAGACCAAACCUUUAAUCCAUCCCACGUUUUUUGACAAUCUUGAUGACCCAGAUGUGAAUGGCUCAAGGUGAUGUCCUGAAAUUGGUGUUUGCGGUUGGAGUUUGGUGUGCUGCUUACGUCACCGUUGCUGUUCUUGCUUCGUUUCGUGUUUUGAGCUACGUCUGCAGCUGCGCGCUAUGAAUCUGGUGCUGAAUGUCAAGUGGGUCGUGGAGUAUCUGCAAUGCUUACAGUUAUUCUUGGCCAGAGUGGUUACACUAUGGAGAAGAGCCAGGAGAAGAUUCAACUAGGCAUUAAAGGGCUUGAGAAUAUCACAGUUGCGGAAAGUUUCAUUUAACACAGAACUACACCAAGACGUUGCUUCUUUCUAUGGAAGAUAUACAUAUUUCCCAAUGAAGCUUACUGAGAUGAGAUUGACUUUCAAUUAGGCGUAAUGCAAAGGCGAGAAAGGUGUUCAAUUUUCUAUUAAAGAAAGUGUACCUUGCUUAAAAUGCCAUUGUCAAGCAUCCAGUCUGUUGGUAUUUGGUAAUCCCUACAAUGACGCAUCAAGGACUCCCUUGUUCGGAGAAUAUUGUAAACUGUACGCUCCAUCCUGCAAGAGACAAGGCAACCAUUUUCUUGAGUGCAAUAUCACAGGGCAAUCGAGUAUCAUCUUUGAAAGAAGACACUUCAAGGUCCAGUUUCUUCAGAUCUCUAUAGCCAAAUGCUGCUUCUCGCAGUGUGUCUGCUUUCUUUUCUGGCCAAUCAAAGUGCUUUAGGACUGCUCUUUCGUCCAC